UACGAGAUUCGGACGUUAAAAAUGAAAAACCCAAAGUCGAAGUUAGGCGCUUGCAGUACGACCCUAACCCUAAGGUCGGGGACUGGAAAAAGACGUGCUCGCCCAGCUGUUGCCCCUCGUUAUCGGGCGAAGAACGCCUGGGCGGCGUUGCCGGGUUGUGCCCUGGCGCACUUUCCGCAAGUUUAUCGAACAGCUGGUAGGAUUACGUAAUUUGCGAUAAUAUCCAACAAAUGUGCUUUGUUGUCCCGAUUAGGGAAAAAAAUCAGUGAUAAGUGGUACAGGGACUUGGAAAUAGGCACCAAGUGGGGUCGCUGAUGUGGCAAUGCCAUCUAGGUAUAUUGUAUCAGAAUGGCACAAACCACAGCUUCCUUGAUUAAUGAAGGGACUUUCCCUUCACACGGCUGGCCGCAUUGCUUAGUUCCUUGGCAUAUUUUUGUUUCUGAGAGGGAGCCACUAUAAAGUAAAACAAUUCUGACAGUUCUAAGGUUAAGUGUUGUCACACUGCUGUCAGUGCAGAAGAUUUCUAAGGCAAAACGCAUUAGUUUUAGCUAUAUAGUUGUAGAAAACGUAUUCUACAAACAUUUGGCACGUGUUUUUACUAUGAGGAACCAAAAGCGCAUGUUGCCAUGUGAGCGACCAAGAGCAUAUGCCAAGAGCGAACUGCGAAACACAAAACGAACGUAAAAAGCAUCAUACAAACUUGAACAUUUUGCCGAAUGGUAAACAAACAUUUUUAUGCUCACGAAAAUGAUCAAAAGAUUGUUGGAACGCAUUUGCAACCAACUGUACAAAAUGUAAUUAGUGUCCAAAUGCUUUGCAUUUCAAAUUUAGAUUAAAACUUGUGGAAAAAAAUUAAACUAAGCUUUGUCUUGCCUUCCUGUUAGCAAAAUUUUGUAUAAAUCUUGUGCAAAAGAGGUUGAAAACUUAAAUUUGUAAAAAAUAUGACUGCUGUCACGUUUGAAACCAAGUGAAUUUUUCAGCAGCAACUAAUAGAUGGCGCUACAAUAAAGUAAGCUCUCAAAAAACACUUUUUUUGUUCAAUGCGACCAGCCGUGUAAAGGGUACCUCCCUUCACUAAUCAAGGAAGCUGUGGCACAAACUAUAGUCCGGGACAUUUCUAUAUGAGAUACGUCAUACCGCAUACCUUGACGCGAGACUAUAUAGAGCACAAAAACUAGAUAAGAGCUCAAAUUUAGGGAACUUGGCUGUUUGAUGUGUUUGACAGAUGACAAAUGUAAACAAUAAUAAAAAUUUAAAUAUUUCUUUAUUGUAGUAAAGUACAGCAAAAUGUACCAACUAGAACACUUAAAAACAAAUGGAGAAACUUUCAAACGCUUUGAAGUACCGUUGCUGGAGUACUGUUGAGGUUAUGUUUGACCUUGAUAUGACUGUCAGGUUUAAAGUUGAAAUUUGCAUUAAAAAGGCCAUAAAAGCCUCGAAGUGCCUUUUAGGGUAGUCAUCGUCAUGUUCCAAUUGCAUGCCCCCUCUCUGCCACAUCAGUAAAAUUUGCCACAAAAGUUUUAAAAAACGACUUUAAACAACAAAAAAGGCCCUAUUUUCAUUAACAAUGAGACAUAUCUCGCUGCAUGCGGCACGACAUAGGCCUCAUAGACCAAUUUCAUUGUGAAUGGUUUUCGCUGAGAUCAUUUUGAGAGGGUUUCACUGAGACUGACGUUGGCGGAAGGCUGAAACCUGCGUCGCGACAAGUCUUUGCACCAACAUUCGAAAACGCUGUCAAUGGCUUAAAAUUAUGAAACUGUGUCAGUUUUUUUGUGUCUUUUGGGAUUAGUCUUUGAGUCCUGUUUGCGCUGCAUGUAGCGAAGCAGAUCUCAUUGUGUUCUUUAAGAAACAGUUUUAAUGUUCACCACAAGACAUACACUGAGACGGCCUCAUGCCUCAUAUCAUGGCUUGUAAUUGACAGCAUUUUAUAAAAUGAUUUGGAAUCAUAAUGCAGAGAUUGUUGCGAGACAGUCAGGCAGGUCUCAAGCCUACUGCAGAAGUCGCUCUCAGUGAGUCCAUGUCUUAGAGAUGCAAGACCAAUUUAGACCAUUUACAGUGAGAUUGGUGCCCGAAACCUAUGUCAUGCAGGAAGCCAAACUUCAUCGUGAAUGGACCCUUUUCAAUGGGGGUGUGCUUUUUGAAUAAAUUUGAAAUGGCCUUUUUGAAAAAAGCAGUUGUCUCUCUUUUAUUCAUCUAUUCAACACGUUUAUAUUCGAUGCACUUACACCAAUUUCAUUAUCAGUGUCUUGAUUAUCAGGCAAGGGCAAAGUGGAAUUGGAGGCAACCCAGAAAUAAAAACACUUUAAUUUCCUUUAUUAGUAAGCUAUAUUUUUUAUAAAAGACGACUACUCUCAGUUAGAGACGUACAAAAAUGUAAACAAGAGUAAAAGUUGGUUUUUCGCAAUAUUUCACACUAUUCUUCCACACGUCCACAGUAAAAUCAGAAAGCGCUUGUUGUUAUAAAGCCCUUAUUAUGUUUUUCGACGAUGGCUGAGACUUUGUGACGUAUUUGUUAAACGUAAGUUUUCAAAUACCCCAUGCCAGUGCAACGGAGUUAUAUUAACAAUUUUAUGGGAUUAUUUUUAACUUUACACCCAUUCUGCUUGAAACAAGAGUCGCUACCAGGAAAUAACAACGAAAAAAGUGGACCCAAAAGGCUUCAGCUACAAAUUAUAAACACUAUCUGUGAUUUUUUUAAUAUUUUUUUUAUUAAUUAAUUAAAAAAUGUCGUGAACUUACUUUGAAGUAAACAGUGAGCUCCAUCUAUAACUCAUAAUUACUUGAACCGCAAUUCCCAUCAUCAAAAUGUGCAAAACUGCGAUAAGUGAGGUUAUGCAGGUAUGCACUUUGUUUUCCAGUUUUUCACACAAAAUAUAUCACAAAUUACGCAAAUCAUACAACUAGCGACAGUCAGUACUGUCAGUACGUCACAGCAGCUUUCUCCAGCACAAUCACUGACUGCAAUUCUGUGUUGUGCCAUUCCCGUCUCAUCAUACAAUCUAUAAUUGUUAUAUGACAAGUAAUGUUUCUACCUUCAAAAAUACUUGCAUAAAUAUUUUAUUAUCCUGUUAGUACACGCUUUUAAAGCAGCCACUGGUUAUAUAGAUUAAAAUUAUAACAUUUCCUUCCUAUUUCCUUUGUUAUUGUGUUAUUGUUUACAUCAGUCAGCUGUUUACUGUCAUUUUCUAAUGCUACCAAUUUAAAAAAUGUCCCUGUUAUUAACUAGCGGCUAGCCCCUGCCGGUCUACAAAUGUUCGCUCAGUCGAAAUGUUGCGAGCGAGGUCGGAACAGUACGAACGGAGACCAUAACGGACUUCUCAUUUCAGCUGGGCAUAUUGGAAUAGUGGUUUUUAUGGAAAUAUGUUGCGCGUGGCUGGGGCUUCGCCCCAGUUAACUAAAAGGAAACAAACCCCACGACCAAUUAAACUCGAAAACGUGGAACUCGAAACGUGGAAUAGUGUUUAUGUUUAUGAACUGUACGCCACCCUAGCUCCAUAAAAAAACACUAUUCCACGUUUCGAGUUCCACGUUUUCGAGUUUAAUUGGUCGUGGGGUUUGUUUCCUUUUAGUUAACUGGGGCGAAGCCCCAGCCACGCGCAACAUAUUUCCAUAAAAACCACUAUUCCAAUAUGCCCAUCAAUGCCGAUUGUUAAUGUAAUUAUUUUUGAAAUACUCAGAAAACUCUUUAGACUUAACCAGCCCAGCUGAAAUGGAAAUCCGUUAUGGUCUGUUCGUACUGUUCCGACCUCGCUCGCAACAUUUCGACUGAGCGAACAUUUGUAGACCGGCGGGGCCUAGCCGCUAGUCUGUUAUUAAAGCUCAAGGACCAUAGAAUGAGAGAGAGAACAUUUUUUGUUCACAUAGACGCUGAAUAUACGUAUAAAUGUCAGAAAAUUCAAAUUUUUUAUGUCCAAAUAGAAAUGUCCCGGACUGUACGUAAAUUUGUAUUACAAGAAAACAAAAUAACUUGUUUUUAGAUGUUCACACCUUUAAUAAAUUUUUUUGGUAAAGUUGUCUUUUUCGCCUAUUUUUUCUGUGAUGUCCGAAAAGGGGUGAUCAGGUAAUAAUCCGUUUUGACCUGAUAAGAUGCGGUGCCGAAUUUCUAGGACUCGAACACGUAAAGAGAGGGUGCCCGGUAUUUGGGGAUUCAAUAGUGCCCAAUUUAUGCACGCCUGUUAUCAUAACUCGCCUGUUUUGGUAAUAAUAUUGUCCGAUUUUGGGAAAUAGAAAAUAAAGAUGCAAUAAAUGAUAAUUUACUGGACACCCUUCACAGAAUUCUUGUGAAAAACAUUUUAACAAAACACAUGGGAGAUUCCCAGAUGGGCGGUUUAUGGUUUAUGGUUUACGGUCCUUUUAAGCAAACGCCGCCUGAUACGCAAAAUAGCGUUUGUUGUCGGUGGAGAAAAGGAGAGCUAGGGAUCAUAAACUAAAUGAGGGGUACGUACAUUUCGUUCAUGAAAAAUUAUUUAAAAUUGGGACAUAUGGAACUCGUAGUAAACGAUUCUACCGAAAAUUCUUUUCACUUAUCACACAGUUGUGUAAUUAUAAUUAAUGAAAACAGUAAUAGUACCAAGUUGAUUGUAGUCUGACUGUUCAUGUAAAGCUCUAAUAAAUUGAGUAUAAAUGAUAAUCUGUUAGCAGGCCCGGUAAUUCAGCCUGAUUUAUUUCCGAUUUUAAUUCAAUUUCGGAUAUAUUUUUUAAUGUAUAGUUGCAUAUGGGU